rnacentral:lncRNA from 1 species
CUUGAACUGACAGGCAAGGGAGGGCUGAGCUGUCACUCUGCUCACCAUAACCCAGGAGAAUAAAAGAUGUAGGAAAAAGAAAUGAAACUAGUACCUUGGCAACAAUGGCUUCUGUGCAUAUGAAACUGAACUAAUGAUAUGUGCUCAUUCACGCUGUGGUUUCCAAACGCAACAGCUCUUAAGUACACAGCUUGCUUGACGUCUGAGCAGCCAGUCUACACCCCAGGGGCCAGUCAGAGCAGAAUGUUGAUGGAUCUUACGCAGUGAGGCUUUGCUUUGGGAGAGGCCGUAAAGCAGCUGAACUGCAUUUGAAAUCACCAACAUCUGAGAUUCUCAGGAAGCAAAAGCUGGAUACUUCUGCCUAUGUCUGAGCAUGAAGGAUGCAAUUCACAGUAAGAAUCCUGAUGUACGUUGCAAUAUAUGUUAUUAGAAAAUACAUGAAAAUAUAGUAGCUCUGGUAUUCAGUUUGAACAUAAUCAUAUCAACUUUGAGGGAAGCUUUUGG